GUGAGGAAUAUUGGUCAAUGGGCGAGAGCCUGAACCAGCCAAGUCGCGUGAAGGAAGAAGGAUCUAUGGUUCGUAAACUUCUUUUGCAGGGGAAUAAAGUGCGGGACGUGUCCUGUUUUGUAUGUACCCUGAGAAUAAGGAUCGGCUAACUCCGUGCCAGCAGCCGCGGUAAUACGGAGGAUCCGAGCGUUAUCCGGAUUUAUUGGGUUUAAAGGGUGCGUAGGUGGUUUGAUAAGUCAGCGGUGAAAGUUUGCAGCUUAACUGUAAAAAUGCCGUUGAAACUGUCGGACUUGAGUGUAAAUGAGGUAGGCGGAAUGCGUGGUGUAGCGGUGAAAUGCAUAGAUAUCACGCAGAACUCCGAUUGCGAAGGCAGCUUACUAAGCUACAACUGACGCUGAGGCGCGAAAGCGUGGGGAGCAAACAGGAUUAGAAACCCCAGUAGUCC
rnacentral:rRNA from 1 species